UACGAAGGGGGCUAGCGUUGCUCGGAAUCACUGGGCGUAAAGGGUGCGUAGGCGGGUCUUUAAGUCAGGGGUGAAAUCCUGGAGCUCAACUCCAGAACUGCCUUUGAUACUGAGGAUCUUGAGUUCGGGAGAGGUGAGUGGAACUGCGAGUGUAGAGGUGAAAUUCGUAGAUAUUGCAAGAACACCAGUGGCGAAGGCGGCUCACUGGCCCGAUACUGACGCUGAGGUGCGAAAGCGUGGGGAGCAAACAGGG
rnacentral:rRNA from 1 species